GAGAUCAGUCCACCAAUCAAGCAAGGAUGUUUCUCAAGGAAUCAAAGCCCUAGGGUUUGUCCAACAAGUUCACAUGCCUUGGGGGUCUUUUUGAAAUGUUCAAGUCAAGGGCUGAAGGCUCAGAGGUCAGCAGUCAAUGCACAACCAGGUCAAAACCCUAGACAGUCAACAAUCAGUCAAAGCAGGGGAUGGUGGCCAUUCUUGUGGAAUUUGGGCACCAUGAUCAAUAAUCACGAGUCCAUACAACUUG
rnacentral:lncRNA from 1 species